rnacentral:rRNA from 1 species
GACGAACGCUGGCGGCGUGCCUAACACAUGCAAGUCGAGCGUGUGAAUCUCCUUCGGGAGUGAAGCUAGCGGCGGACGGGUGAGUAACACGUGGGCAACCUGCCUCAUAGAGGGGAAUAGCCUUUCGAAAGGAAGAUUAAUACCGCAUAAGAUUGUAGCUUCGCAUGAAGUAGCAAUUAAAGGAGCAAUCCGCUAUGAGAUGGGCCCGCGGCGCAUUAGCUAGUUGGUGAGGUAACGGCUCACCAAGGCGACGAUGCGUAGCCGACCUGAGAGGGGGAUCGGCCACAUUGGGACUGAGACACGGACCAGACUCCUACGGGAGGCAGCAGUGGGGAAUAUUGCACAAUGGGGGAAACCCUGAUGCAGCAACGCCGCGUGAGUGAUGACGGCCUUCGGGUUGUAAAGCUCUGUCUUCAGGGACGAUAAUGACGGUACCUGAGGAGGAAGCCACGGCUAACUACGUGCCAGCAGCCGCCGUAAUAC